AUUGAACGCUGGCGGCAGGCCUAACACAUGCAAGUCGAACGAGUUGCGGACGGGUGAGUAAUGUCUUGGAAACUGCCCGAUGGAGUGGGAUAACUACUGGCAACGGUAGCUAAUACCGCAUACCAUCGGAUGUGCCCAGAUGGGAUUAGCUCGUAGGUGGGGUAACGGCUCACCUAGGAGACGAUCCCUAGCUGGUCUGUGAGGAUGACCAGCCACACUGGAACUGUGAAACGGUCCAGACGCCUACGGGAGGCAGCAGUGGGGAAUAGUGCACAAUGGGCGCAAGCCUGAUGCAGCCAUGCCGCGGGUAGGAAGAAGGCCUUCGGGUUGUAAAGUACUUUCAGCGAGGAGGCGUUACUCGCAGAAGAAGCACCGGCUAACUCCGUGCCAGCAGCCGCGGUAAUAC
rnacentral:rRNA from 1 species